UACACUACUUAAAGGAAGAGAACAGGGAGUGGAAAGCGGGAAAUCUGUGUGUCAGAGAGAAGAAGAAGAAACACUGUAACACAAGUUUCACUCAGAAGUUUAUAUUAGGCCUAGAAGCUGAUGGAAACGGUGAAAUUUUGGUAUUGACUACAUCAGAUCUGAGGAACAACGUUAGCUCGGGAAAAAUAUACAGACUACAAGCGAAUACUAUAAGAGUUGAUGAUGAAGACAACCGAGGAAACUCUGUUUCUACUCCACUGCUGUUUGUCUGUUGUCUACUGGUUCGUUGGUUUUUGUCCGAGCUGUGGAUCAAAGAACUUUCACUCUGAGAAAACAAUUUUAUAUUUAACGAGUACAUUCUCUGGGUAGCUGCUCAAGUCUGCAAUUAUCAUUAUUUUUUAAAUAGUAAUUAAAAUUUAUGAGAUUUCAAAGGUUAAGUUUGUAUGAUGUAAUUGUGUAUGUUCUCCUGUACUGCUAAUUGAUUAAAAUAAUAUUGGUUUUAGUGUUUAUUUAAGUUAAUAUCCACCCUUACUGUAUAAUGUAAAUCAUAAAAUACAAAUAAAAUUAAUGUGCUGACAUAAACCACUUAAGUUGUUUAAAAUUAUUUUUACU